UACGUAGGGUGCGAGCGUUAAUCGGAAUUACUGGGCGUAAAGCGUGCGCAGGCGGUUUUGUAAGCCAGAUGUGAAAUCCCCGGGCUUAACCUGGGAAUGGCAUUUGGGACUGCAAGGCUGGAGUGCGGCAGAGGAGACUGGAAUUCCUGGUGUAGCAGUGAAAUGCGUAGAUAUCAGGAGGAACACCGAUGGCGAAGGCAGGUCUCUGGGCCGUAACUGACGCUGAGGAGCGAAAGCAUGGGGAGCGAACAGG
rnacentral:rRNA from 1 species